CUCCCAUAGGGCUCCCUCCCAUAGGACUCCUCCCAUAGGGCUCCCUCCCAUAGGGCUCCUCCCAUAGGGCUCCCCUCCUCCCAUAGGGCUCCUCCCAUAGGACUCCUCCCAUAGGGCUCCCUCCCAUAGGGCUCCUCCCAUAGGACUCCUCCCAUAGGGCUCCUCCCAUAGGGCUCCCUCCCAUAGGGCUCCUCCCAUAGGGCUCCCUCCCAUAGGGCUCCCUCCCAUAGGGCUCCUCCCAUAGGGCUCCUCCCAUAGGGCUCCCUCCCAUAGGGCUCCUCCCAUAGGGCUCCUCCCAUAGGGCUCCCUCCCAUAGGGCUCCCUCCCAUAGGACUCCUCCCAUAGGGCUCCUCUCAUAGGGCUCCUCCCAUAGGGCUCCCUCCCAUAGGGCUCCUCCCAUAGGGCUCCUCCCAUAGGGCUCCUGCCAUAGGGCUCCUCCCAUAGGACUCCUCCCAUAGGGCUCCUCCCAUAGGGCUCCUUGGUUUUCUGCAAAGUCACUGUUCAGUUAGUGGAUGUUGUUGGAAGGCCUCCCUUUCCUCUUGGGGUUUUCUUGGGGUUUUCUGCAAAGUCAUUGCAAAAUAGUCUAAAAAGUUAGCGACAGCGCACAGUAUAUUUUGUAUUUGUGAGUUUUCCAUCUGUUGGUUUACAACUAGUUCUGUCUUUGUGAAAAUGUAUUUUUAGCUUCCUACUACAUCAACCAAACAAAUCCAUCUUGAUUUACAUGGAUUAUCAUUUGUUUGUGGUGGGCGGGGCGAGGCCAGUAUUACUGGCACUAUGAAGAAUGUCCACGUCAAUCUAGAACGUGUAGCUAUGUACAUUUAUUAAUCAUUGUGUAUAUUUGAUUUAUUAACUUAAUAAUAAUCAAGAGCCUAAAGAUAUAUUUCCCUUUUUAUUUAUAUGUUCUGUCUCUAGAUUUUGAAGGUUUUCGGUAGCUUUGUAAGUUUACAUUUAAUUUUGAUUGACAUUUUUAUUUUAUGAAAUAUCAGAGGAAGAAGAAAAUAAGGACUUUUCUAAGAAAAAGUAAUUCCCUGUUUAUUGGUUGUUUUUUAAAAAUAAUGAUUUCAGAUGUUUUCAAAUAUCCAUUUUGCCAAGACUUUGCAGGUUAGGGGGAUGAUGUAAUAAAAACAAGACUGGUUGCUUUGUUAUAAAUUCUAAAUGAUGGUGGCAGACAUAUUGUUUGUCAUGAAAACACAAACAGCCUUUAGCAGCAUCUAACUCAUAAUCCCAUAAUCCACAAAUGAUCAAAGCACAAAAAACAGUGUAUCACAUUCUCACAAAACAAUAUCUGACAAUUUAGGGGAGAGUUGGGUAAAUCCAGCCUUUUGUUGUUGUUGUUACAUUCAUCAUCACUCCGUCGAGGAAAUAUACUAUUCUUUCUAACAAAGAUAUCUACAUAUAUGUCAGGAUGUUGUGUAUCCCUGGAAAUAAUCAGAAUUCAUGUAGAAAUUACAGUUUUGAAAAGACGGCUUGUUAAAAAGAAACAGUGGUCUCUUGGCACAAUUUAUCCUGGGAAGAAAACACUUCAAUUGGCUCAAUUUAACCCAAGGCAGACAUUUUGACUAUAUUUGCCCACGCAGCUACAAGGAUGCACUUUCAUGCUAAGUUCAGGACCUCAUACUGAAGCUGAAAGAGACCCCAGCUGAUAUAUAGAAUGAUCUUUAAAUAUACUUCGGUUUAGAUACAAGCAACAUGAAAUUAAUUUGACUUGGGGGAAAAUCUGUUCAUUGGACCUGAUUUGUUCAUCCACUUCUCCAUGUGGUUUCUUCCUUCACUGACUCCGUGAAAUUAUAAAUAUUUGGUCAACUGAUACGUUUUCUGUAUGGUUUCCUAGAAAGAAGGGCGGCUCAACUUACCCUACUCACCCCUAUGGCAAAUCACACAACAAUCACACAUCAAUGUCUACUGGAACACGGGGGGGGGUCAAUAGUCUAGCCUGAGUCCCAGAUCUGUUGGUGCUGUCUUGUCAUCUCCAUUGCUAGGACUGCUGUCACACAUGUUGGGAAGACUGCACAAACAGAUCUGGGACUCGAGCUAUGGCAGCGUUUCCCAAACGUAGCCCUGUCGAUCCCAAGAGGUGCAUGUUUAUGGUUUUUGCUCUUAGCUCUACACAUUUGAUUCAAAACUGAUCUUUGAUUAUUAGAAUCAGCUGUGUAGAACAAAGCCAAAAGGUGCACCUCUUGGAGUCUCCAGGACGGAGUUGGGGAAACGCUGGUCUAGGGUGUCAACGGGAACACUGCAGGAUCACGUAAACACGUAUUUCCUUCUCUCUCUCGCUCAGCGCUGUGGGAGACUGUUGUUUUGUUUCUGUUUUAAAUGCACAUGUUAUUUUAAACUAUUGAAAGGCUCUUUAAAAGAAGACAUGUUUUUUAUUUCUCAGAUGUUAGUACUUUAUGACAUCAUGGAAACAUUAAUUUAGUGUUUCCUCUCUUGUUAUGGAUUUUAGAUUGUAUUUGUGUUGAUGAUGUUGCAAUCCUGGCAAUGUUUUUAAAGGGUUUUGUUCUUUUGAAAAAGGUCAAUAUUUAUUAAAUAUUUUGUAUGAAAAGAGAUAAUAAAACAGUCCCUGUUCUGGAUUCAUGGUUUGA
ensembl:lncRNA